rnacentral:tRNA from 1 species
GCCUUCGUGGUGUAGUGGUCAGCACCCUCGACGUGUAAACCGAGAGGUCCAUGGUUCGAAUCCCGGCGAAAGCG